rnacentral:lncRNA from 1 species
AGGACUAUAGGCAUUCCGGCCUGUGGCAAACGGUAACAGUCGGAAUCUGGGCAAGCUUUGGAAAGGAAGACACAAACCUCAUUUGUUUCCACUUAAGGCCCAGGCCUGAUUUCAAAAGGAAGGCCAUAAGGCUGGACCAGCUCCAGGGACAGACCAUAAAACCCAGCAACAAGGGUUUUAUUGAUGUCAGGCUGAUCUGAACUCACUCUGCAUCCCAGGCCAGUCUUGUUGCUACCUCCUCGGUGCUACGGCUAUAGGAGGAACAAUGAGCCACAGAGGAAAGCUCCUAUGGUGAUACUUUUUUCCAGGUGCCUAGCAACAAAUGAACUCUCUUCAGAAGAGUAGAUUUCAACUCAAGCCUUGAAGAAUUACAGCCCCCAGAUCUCCCCGCACAGCAGAGAAAUAGAUCAGGGAGCAGAACAGAACUGGGGAAAGGAAGACAUGCCGAAGAGGGAUCAGUUUAGCAGCCUAGAUACACUCAGACAUGAAGGCUAGGGAUAUCAAAUGUGGAGUAAAGUGUUUGCUAUGCAAAUAUGAGGUACUGAAUAUCCAGUCCUAGAAGCCUCCCAAAAGGCAGGCACAUGCCAUCCCUGUGUGGGGAGACAAGUGGACCUCUGGGGCCAGCUGUCCUAGCUUGAUAGGUGAGGCCCAGACGAGUCAAGGACACUAUCUCAACACAGCCAAUGUGAAUAGCCACUCAGGGAUGGCAUUUGAGACUGUCCUCUGACCUCCACACACAUGUACGCAUGCAUGUGCCCAUACACAUGCGUGGAAUUGCACACACACACACACACACACACACACACACACACACAUGUACACCGAGCAUUCAAAGUCACAGAGACUAUAGAUUCCAGCCAGGAAGUGAAGAACGAAUCAGAUGCAGCUGAACACACCUGUGGCUCUCGUGAAGAUUUGAAAGGUAAAGAGGAAUGGGGGGAAGGGCAAAGAGAAUAAACACACAGCCAACAGACGUGAAUUCUGUUUAAUACAAGCCAGCGGAAGUGGAUGAGAAACUGAGGCUGAAUCUACAGUCUGAGCUCACGGGUGUGGAGCGCAGAUAAUGCAUCUUGAGAUCACUACGAUCUUUGUGCCAUCUGGGAGCGUGGAGGAGGUGGUGCUGAGCUGUGGAAUACAGGCAACCCGCUGAAAGAAGAGUCAUGAGUCCUAGGAACAUCACAUCAGUCAAGGGAGUGGAAGGUGGGGUCAGUGCUGCGGUGGCGUCUAUCCAAAGGGAGAGAUGAAGAGAGGAGGAUAAAGGCAAUAAGCAGAAAGUAUAACAUAAGAUGUCCCAAGUGAAAGCAUCUACAUAUGUGCGGGCAAAACAUCACUCAUCGGGAGCAAGAGAGAAAGUACUGUUUGGGUAUGGUGAUUUGAAUGGGAACUGUCCCCAUGGGCUCUCAUGCUUGAACACAUAGUCUGCAGUUGGUGACACUGUCUGGGGAGGUUAUGGAGUCUUUAGGAAAUGCAGUCUUGAAGGGAGACACACACUGGGGACAGGUUUUGAGAGUGCACAGUCUCACCUUACUUACAGUUACUCCCUCUGCUUUCUGCAUGCGGAUGGAGAUGUGGUCUUUCCACCUACCGCUCUGACCUCUUACUGCCUUAUCUCCUCCACUGUUAUGGAUCCUCUCUCUGAAAAUGUAAGCUCCAAAUAAACUCUUUCCUCCAU